rnacentral:rRNA from 1 species
AACGAACGCUGGCGGCGCGCCUAAUACAUUCAAGUCGAGCGAGAAGACGUAGCAAUACGUUGUAAGCGGCGAACGGGUGAGGAAUACAUGGGUAACCUACCCUCGAGUGGGGAAUAACUAGCCGAAGGUUAGCUAAUACCGCGUACGCUCCUUGGACUUCGGUUCAGGGAGGAAAGCGAUACCGUGGGUAUCGCGCUCUUGGAUGGGCUCAUGCCCUAUCAGCUUGUUGGUGAGGUAACGGCUCACCAAGGCUUCGACGGGUAGCUGGUCUGAGAGGACGAUCAGCCACACUGGCACUGCGACACGGGCCAGACUCCUACGGGAGGCAGCAGUAAGGAAUAUUGCGCAAUGGGCGAAAGCCUGACGCAGCGACGCCGCGUGGGGAUGAAGGUC